rnacentral:rRNA from 1 species
GUGGAUUAGAUACCCUGGUAGUCCACGCCCUAAACGAUGUCAACUAGGUGUUGGGGAAGGAGACUUCUUUAGUACCGCAGCUAACGCGUGAAGUUGACCGCCUGGGGAGUACGGUCGCAAGAUUAAAACUCAAAGGAAUUGACGGGGACCCGCACAAGCGGUGGAUUAUGUGGAUUAAUUCGAUGCAACGCGAAAAACCUUACCUACCCUUGACAUGCCAGGAACUUUCCAGAGAUGGAUUGGUGCCCGAAAGGGAGCCUGGACCCAGGUGCUGCACGGCCGUCGUCAACU